UACGGGGGGAGCAAGCGUUGUUCGGAUUUACUGGGCGUAAAGCGCACGCAGGCGGUUGCGCGCGUGGGGUGUGAAAUCUGGCCGCUUAACGGCCAGGCGCCAUCCCAUACGGCGCGCCUGGAGCCUUGCAGAGGUCGGUGGAAUUGCCGGUGUAGUGGUGAAAUGCGUAGAUAUCAGGAGGAACACCGGUGGCGAAGGCGCUCAUCUGGCCCAAUACUGACGCUGAGGCGCGAAAGCUAGGGGAGCAAACGGG
rnacentral:rRNA from 1 species